UACGUAGGGGGCUAGCGUUGCUCGGAAUCACUGGGCGUAAAGGGCGCGUAGGCGGGUCUUUAAGUCUGGGGUGAAAUCCUGGAGCUCAACUCCAGAACUGCCUUUGAUACUGAAGAUCUUGAGUUCGGGAGAGGUGAGUGGAACUGCGAGUGUAGAGGUGGAAUUCGUAGAUAUUCGCAAGAACACCAGUGGCGAAGGCGGCUCACUGGCCCGAUACUGACGCUGAGGCACGAAAGCGUGGGGAGCAAACAGG
rnacentral:rRNA from 1 species